UACGAAGGGAGCUAGCGUUGCUCGGAAUCACUGGGCGUAAAGCGCACGUAGGCGGAUUCUUAAGUCGGUGGUGAAAUCCUGGAGCUCAACUCCAGAACUGCCUUCGAUACUGAGAGUCUUGAGUCCGGGAGAGGUGAGUGGAACUGCGAGUGUAGAGGUGAAAUUCGUAGAUAUUCGCAAGAACACCAGUGGCGAAGGCGGCUCACUGGCCCGGUACUGACGCUGAGGUGCGAAAGCGUGGGGAGCAAACAGG
rnacentral:rRNA from 1 species